ACGGAGGAUCCGAGCGUUAUCCGGAUUUAUUGGGUUUAAAGGGAGCGUAGGCGGACGCUUAAGUCAGUUGUGAAAGUUUGCGGCUCAACCGUAAAAUUGCAGUUGAUACUGGGUGUCUUGAGUAUAGUAGAGGCAGGCGGAAUUCGUGGUGUAGCGGUGAAAUGCUUAGAUAUCACGAAGAACUCCGAUUGCGAAGGCAGCUUGCUGGACUGUAACUGACGCUGAUGCUCGAAAGUGUGGGUAUCAAACAG
rnacentral:rRNA from 1 species